UUUAUUGUCAUAUAUUAUACUGUAAAUUUAUUGAAUGUUUAUAUAUUAGUUCAGUAAAUAUAUUAAAAAUUAAAGUAUUGUGUGUUAAAUGCAGUCUGGUUUAAAAUUAAAACAAAAAAAAAUAGUAGAAGAAAAAAUAGGCAUGGUUACAAUUUCAUACACUGUUACCAUUCAUAUAUAGAUAUUCACACAUUUCACUGCAUACAUAUAGACAUCGUAGUAUUUGCUUCAGAUACAGCAACUUACACAACACAAUCACCACUACACGCACGCAUACUCACAGACACUGCAAAUAACAAUUCCUCUUUUGCACAUAUUUCACAUAGUAAAAAUAAAAAUUAAUGGGGGAGGGAGGGGGGAAUCAGUGAAACGAGAGAGAGAUCGAAAAAAAUAGAAGUUUGACGGAGAAAAGAAAAAUUAUCAGUUGUUCUUUGCUGAGAAAAGGGAAAAUCGUCAGACUGUCUUUGAAUUUUUUGGUGAGUUUUCACCGAAAAUCCGUCAGAAAAUUCUAAAUCCACUCCAUUUUUGUCAAAAUCCCACCCCUGUGGUCGGUUCCAGCGAAUCAACUCGCCGGAAAAACACCCACCGGCUGCCGCCGGUGAAAAUGCUGACCAAAUCAUCCUUUUCACGGAAAAAUGGCAAAAACUUGCCGGUUUCCACCCCCACAAACCCAAAAUCCACUCCCCGCCGGAAUUGGUAACCAGUAGGCACGCCUCCACUAACCGCCACCGCUGCUGCCUCCCUUCACUUCCCCUUUCUCUCCCUUUUCCGUCACCAAAUAAUUCCGGCGAACCUUCCCCCAAAUCGGCAAAACCCGUCUGGAAACAUGGCUUCCGUUCUAUCGAUCCACCGAAGAAAAUCAACCAACAACUCCUUAUAUAUAAUCUCAAACCAUAACCCCUCAAAUCCAAACUCAUAAUAUUUUUUUUCUCCAUAUUCUUCCUACAGAUCUAACAAGAAGAAAAUAUGUUUUGGUGAUAGGAUGUGCAUGUUAUGUAUCUGCCUAAUAGCAGUUGUGAUGUCCAUUUAUUUGUUAUUAUUUGGAUUUGGAGAAUACAUGAAUUGAAAUUGUUGUAUUUGAUUUAUCUUAUAAUAUAUAACUUGAGUUUUGUAUCAAUCUAGAGACAAUAAUGUUAAUUAAACAUAAUAUAUAGGUAGCUUUAUAUAUUUUAUUUAUUUUAUUAUUUUUUGUAAUUAAUAAGGUUUAAAAAUUAUUUGUUAAAUUAAUUAAUCACUUUAAAUGAACUGUGCUUUAGUUUAUCGUCAAAAAUACAUAGCGUUUCGAAUAGAUAAAAUUGUUACGAAUUUAUAAGAUAUAGAUCAAUACCUUCAACACUAGGCAAAUUUUAGGAACGAUUAAAAUUUUUGUUUCAAUAAAGAAUGCGGCGUACACAUCUUUUUGAGAUAUUUUAAAAUUCAAGGAUGCAAUAAUGCACCUUGGUAAAUAUUUUUCUAAAAUUAACUUUCAUUAAUUUAUUUAAUAUAAGAUAAUAGACAAAUUUUAGUAUAAUAAAAAAUGAGCGAAUUUAGGCCUUAAACAAUUUAUCUAAAAUAGUUUAAGUAUAAGUUAAUAAAAGCGACCGUGCUAGAACCACGAAACUUGAAGGGUGCCUCGCACUUUUUUCUCGAUCAACAGAAUUUCUUACCUGAUCUUCUAUUUUCGCAGACCAUAGUAAAGAGUCAUUUUAUUUUGAUUAGGGAUUCAAAAAGGUGACUUGGAAUACCAUAACUCAAUUUCAAGUGGCGACUCUGUAAAUGAUAAAAAUAAUCCCUAUUCAAAAUCGUCACUUUAAUUAGAAAAACCUUUCGACUCGACCUUCCAAGCGAAAAAGGGGUGUGACAUCUCUGGCGACUCUGUUGGGGACUUAAUAAGAAUUCGAGCUUUUGAUAUUAAUUUUACUUGCUUUAAUUAUUUCGAUAUGUGUUUGUUGGCCUAAUAUGCUACUUGUUGCUCAUUUAUCGCUUGGAUAUUGUUGAACUGUAUUUCUAAACUGUCUUCUCCUGCGUACCCCCUUUGAGUCUGUGAAUUAGGAUAGAAGGAAUGCAGCGUAUGCAUCCUACUUUCUUUUUGAGAUAGCCGGAGUGUCAAAGCACCUGGUGAAGGAUUAUAGUCACACAUGUUAGGCGGGGUUCGGAUCGACAAUGAAGGUGAAGUAGCACUGCUACCGUACAAGUUCUCCCUUCUCGACCCGAGUGUCCUCUCGAGUAAGCCAAUCUAGAUACUUAUCCCUAUUAGGCUAAACUUAGAAGAACUGAAACUCAGAAUCUGGUUAUCCCUAUUAGGCUCCGCUCUAUUUGCAUUAUUUACAUUUGAAUUAGCGGGACUCGGCACAGGGGUCGGGUCUGCCUAGAACAGGUGUUCCUUUUUAUAAAUGACCAACAUGUGCAUCUUACGGGCUUUUGAUAUUUAUUUGGAACGCCAUUUGAUUCUUAGCAGGCUUUAGGAAACUUGGUGAAACGCAAGAGAGUAUUUUUUCCUCAAAUUUAAAGAAUCAUUUUUCAAAAAAAUUUAAAAAUAUAUAUAGUUUUUAAGGUUUUCAUGAACUACGAGGGUCUGAUUCUCACUCUUUAGUGAAAUACAUAGGAAAUCCUUCCCAGUAUACCACCCUGUCUUUUGAAAAAUUAUUCAUAGAUUUAUUAGGGAAUAUGUUGAAAAUAUGAUUACUUUCAUAAUUAUUUUUCUUAUCCUCAAGUUCAAUUUNNNNNNNNNNUAUAUAUAUCUUAAUAGCCCUGAAUCUGUAGGGAUCAUGAGGCUAAGUUUUACAAAACAAUAUACAUAUAAAUCUUAACAGCCGUGAACCUUUAGGGGUUUUGAGGCUGAGUUUUGUACGACAUAAUUUUCAUGAACUACGCACACCUAAUUCUCAUAUUUAAUGAGAUACGUUUUCAGUCCUCAAUGGAUUCGGUGAUCUUAAAAAAUAGUUGUCUUUCCUUCUAAUUAAAAAAAAAGUAUUUUCAAAAGUAAAAAAUAUUAUUUAAUAAAGUCAAAAAUAAAUAAUAAAAAAAUUAUUUAUCAUUAUUUAAAUAAUUAAAAAAAAUAUGUAUCUUCGUAUCUCUAAUUUUCAAGAACUACGCACACCCGAUUCUCAUUUUAAUGAGAUACGUAGGCGUCCUUCUAGGGUUCGAUUAUCUUUAUAAAAAGAAGAUAAAAGAAAGAGUUUUUGAAAAGUGUUGCAUUCUAACACCUUUGUUAUUUCUUAUUCAUUUAGUUUAAGGUGGUUGGUUAUUGGCCUUUAGGGUGGUCCUUCAUAUUACAUCAAGUCGAGGGACGAGAGUCAUGUCCAGCAAGAAUAGAAAGAGUGACAUCAUAGAUCAAACAAAGAGUCAGGAAAAUGAGAUCUUAAAGCAAGAGAUUGUGAGUUUAAGGCAAUAAAUAAUGGAAAUGUAUCGAGCGUGGGCCAGUGGGCUGCCUCCUCCCCCAGUUUCCACUACUGACCCUACAAAUACCUUGAGUUUUUCACCAAAAUUGCAAGGUCAAUUUUCUGCUGUCAGUUAUGAGCCACAACAUGCCUCAAAAUCUACUCCAAGCCAAAAGCAUCCCAAUGUUUGCAUCGCUCAUUCUCUAGCUCUUCAGUAUAAAUCUACCACAUCGAUAGCAUCACCUAUAGUUUCCACUUCUAUUGCUCAACCCUCUACUGAGGUUUCCACCUUGGCUUUUCAUGCAUAAAUUAUGCUUCCUCAAUCUGCUAGUGAGUCGAUGUUCAAUACUCUUGAUGAUCACUAUUAUACUCCUGAGCCCACAUCUAUGUUAAUUGGGCCAUCAAAAUUUCUUAAUAAAGAGUCUGACAAGGCAGAAGAGAAAGAGAAAAUGGCUAAGAAAAUGAAGAUCACAUAAAAGGCUAUGAAAAAUUCUCAGGGAAUUGCAAAUUAUGAAGAUGUUGCAUACAAAAACUGAGGCAUGUCUUCAAGUGUUAACCUUUCUCCAAGUCUUGAGAUAUCAAAAUUUAAGGAACAUGAUGGGUAUGAGGAUUCUGUAAAAUACUUGGGAUGAUGUUACCAUCAGUUGAGAGGGACUGAAGGGAAGAAGAAGAAGAAAAACGUACCUAUUAUCGUUAUAGGGGAAAAGCAAAGCUCAAGAGGUCCAACUCAGCAACAUUGUCAAUCUCUAUUCUGAGCUUACACAUCAAAUCCACAUGCUCACCUGCAACAACGUUCCUCUUUGCAAAAUCCCAAAUAUUUCAUUCCACUUCCUCAGCAUCAUUUGAACAAUGCACAGUUGUAUGCUCAUCCAUUUUCUUAUCCACAAUGGCAUGCACCGGCUCUUCAACAUCAUCCUCGACCCCCACAUAUUUAUCAAGGAACUUCUAAGUUCAAGUUUUAAUCGAGGCCGGAGUUUGCAAAGAGGAGAAAGACAGAGAAUAAUUUUACACCAAUUAAAGAGUCGUAUGCCAAUUUAUUCCAUAGAUUAAGAAAGUUGGGCAUAAUCACUCCUCUCCUUGAGUGUACUCCUGAUCCACAUUGGAGAAAUUUUGAUUCUCAUGUACGAUGUACAUAUCAUUCUGAUAUUCAGGGUCACAGUAUUGAGGAUUGUUGUGCUUUGAAAAGAGAAAUAGAAAGAAUGAUUCAAGAAAUAUUGAUUGUAGUCCAAAACAUUGAUACUACGAGUGUCACACAGAAUCCUUCACCAAUACACGGUAAUGCACAAUAUAUGGGAAACAAUGAGUUAAGCAUGGGGAUCCAGAACUUAUUUGUUGAAGGAAAUAUGUUGGACAGUGGUGGAAGAUUUAGUCAUGCUGAUUUCCAAACUAGUGGCUAAGAUGUCAAGCUUAAUAAUUAGGAAGCCACUCCUCUCCCUACUAUGAAGGAGUCUUGGUAGUUUGUUUGUUUGUCUUUCUGUAAUUUGAAUCGUUCUAGGAUUGUAAUUCAAAUUUUUACCUUGGUAUUUUAGGUUAAAACUUUGUCUAUCUUUGUUUUUUAAUGCAACAUAAUUUUACUUUGUUUUAUUUUAUGUCUAAUAUUUAUUUAUUUAUUUUUUAUUAUACAGUUCUUUCUAUAUUGAUUAUAAUGAUACGACAUGCAUGAAGAAUUAUCAACCAGAUUUUGAAACCCAAUCUAAUUAUGAAAUAUUAAAUAAAGAGGUUGAAUACGAUGAAGAGGAAGUAUUUGAGGAAAUAAGCAAAGAUUUUGAAUAGUUUGAAAAUAAGUCAAAUCCCAAUUUGGAUGAAACUGAGGCGAUCAAUUUAGGAGACAUGAAAAUAUUAGGAAGACUAAGAUAAUUGUACAUUCUCAAACACAAUAAAAGAAAGAUAUAAUUGAAGCUUUGCUUGAGCACAAAGACAUCUUUGCGUGGUCUUAUGAUGAUAUGCCCGAUUUGAGCACUGAUUUGGUAGUUCAUAAGUUGUAAUUGAUCUUACUUUCCCUCCUGUCAAGCAAAAGUUAAGAAAGCUUAAAACCGACAAGAGUGUAAAAAUCAAAGAGGAAAUCACAAAGCAGCUUGAGGGUAAAGUCAUUCGAGUGGCCCAAUAUCCUGCUUGGUUGGCAACAAAGUUCGGAUGUGUAUUGAUUAUCGUGAUCUAAAUAAAACAAGUCCAAAAGAUGAUUUUCCACUUUCCAAUAUCCAUAUUUUAUUGGAUAAUUGUUCCAAACACGAUCUUACAUCUUUUGUGAAUUAUUACGCGGGGUACCACCAUAUCAUUAUGGAUCCAGAAGAUGCAAAAAAGACAUCAUUUAUCACGUCAUGGGGGACAUAUCGUUAUCGAGUUAUGCCAUUCAGACUAAAGAAUGCUGGGGCAACUUACAUAAGGGCAAUGACCACAAUGUUUCAUGACAUGAUGCACAAAGGGAUUAAAGUUUAUGUGGACGACGUGAUCAUUAAAUCAAAAAAGCAGUCUGACCAUGUCAAAAAUCUAAGAAAAAUCUUUGAAAGUCUUCGAAGAAGCCUAUACCCACAGGUAUACUCGCGAAAUGGCAGAUGCUACUCACAGAGUUUGAUAUUAUCUAUGUAAUGCGAACUGCAAUGAAAGCUCAAGCCUUAGUAAAUCAUUUGGUUGAAAAUCCAGUUGAUGAAGAGUAUGAGCCAUUGAAAACUUACUUUUCGGAUGAAGAGGUAUUGUGUGUUGAUGAAAUUAUUUUUGAUGAUUGCCACUCAGGUUGGAAGUUAUUCUUCAAUGAAUCUUCUAAUGUAAAAGGAGUAGGGAUAGGGGCAGAUUCUAUUUCUGAAUUGAGAUAAUACUAUCUUGUAACAGCCCAACUUUGAUUCUACUAUGUCAAUAAUAUGGCAGAAUACGAAGCUUGCAUUCUGGGUUUGAGACUAGCUAUUGACAUGGGAAUCCAAGAACUAUUGGUGUUAGGAGAGUCAGAUUUGUUAGUCCACCAUAUAAAAGGAGAUUAGGAGACUCGUGAUUCGAAACUCCUACUAUAUUGAGGUUCUUUGCAAGAUCUUUGUCAACGAGAUUUGUAUCAGUAAAGUUCAAACAUAUUCCAAAGCUCAUAAUGAGAUUGUUGAUGCUUUAGCGACCUUAUCUUCGAUGCUCCAACAUUUUGACAACACUCAUAUUGACCCCUUGCAUAUACAGAUUCGUGAUCAAUAUGCAUAUUGCAAUGUGGUUGAGGAAGAAUUUAAAAGGGAGCCGUGGUUUUAUGACAUCAAAGAAUAUAUUCAGGUUGGAAAAUAUCUAAUACAUACUGAUGGUAACCAAAAGUGAUGUAAUCCGAUGACUGACUCGUGAGUUUUUCUUGAGUAGGGAAAAGUUGUAUAAGAGGACUCCAGAUUUGGGACUUUUGAGGUGUGUAGAUGCUAAAAAAACUUCAAAAAUCAUGACUGAAGUACAUUCUGGAAUUUGUGGACCGCAUAUGAAUAGAUAUGUUUUGGCAAAUAAAAUACUUCGAGCAGGUUACUAUUGGAUUACUAUGGAGCGAGAUUCCAUCUGCUUCAUUUGUAAAUUUCAUGAAUGCCAGGUACAUGGGGACUUGAUACAUCCUCCAUCUGAGUUGCAUACAAUUACUGCUCCAUUGCCUUUUGUGGCUUGGGGAAUGGACAUAAUUGGACCAAUUGAACCAAAGACCUCGAAUGGACAUAAGUUUAUCUUGGUGGCCAUUGAUUAUUUCAUGAAGUGGGUGGAAACAAUGACUUUCAAGUCAGUGACCAAGAAAGUGAUGGUUGAUUUUGUUCACUCCAACGUCAUUUAUUAGUUUGGCAUUUCAAAGAUAAUUGUCACGGAUAAUGUUGCAAAUCUCAACAGUCACUUGAUGUAAGAAAUAUGAAAAUAAUUUUAAGAUUAUACAUCGGAAUUUAACUCCUUAUCGCCCAAAGGUAAACGAGGUUGUAGAAGCUGCCAAUAAGAACUUAAAAAAAAUACCCCGCAAGAUGGUGCAAGGUUCCCGACAAUGGUAUAAAAAGUUACCUUUUGCUCUAUUGGGUUAUCGUACUACAGUUCAGACUUCAAUUGGUGCAACUCCUUAUUCGUUGGUAUACGGAACUGAAGCAGUUAUAUAUGAAGAGAUUGAAAUUCCAUCUCUCUGAGUAGUUUUGAAAAUCAAAAUUGAUGAUGAUCAAUGGGUCAGGACUCGAUUGGAGUAAUUAAGCCUGAUUGAUAAAAAAAAUUAACGUCAGUAUGUCAUGGACAACUGUACCAGGAGAGAAUAGCAUAGGAAUAUAACAGAAAGGUGCAUCACAGACAUUUUGAAGAUGGUCAAUUAGUACUAAAACGCAUCAUUCCCCAUCAGAUUGAAGCCAAAGACAAGUUUUCUCCUAAUUGGCAAGGACCGUUCAUGGUAAAGAAAGUAUUACCUAAUGGUGCAUUAUAUCUGACUGAUGUAGAAGGCAAAAUGAAAGAAAUGUCGGUCAAUGUUGAUGCAGUUAAGAGAUAUUAUAUAUGAUAUUCAUGUAUAAUUAUGUCAUGUAUGUUUUGUACUUCAAUUUUAAAAAAGAUUGAAAUGAUGAAGGCGUUUUGUUCUACUAUCCAAAUAUUAAGUCAACCCUCGCUUACCCCUUUGAGCUUAGAUUCAACUUUUCUUUCAUAACCCUCUUUUGGAAUCAAUUAAAGUCAAAAGUUCAAAAUGAAAAAAUGAAAAUGAUGAUGAUAAAAAAAAAGAAAAAGAAAAAUGAAAAAUGAAAAAAAAUGGAAAAAAUGAUGAUGAAAAAAAAAUCAAUCAAAAAAUCAAAAUCAAGCAAAAGAAUGAUUCUCCUGAACUACGUUUGACCUGAUUCUUGCUAUAACAAGAUACGUAGGCAGCCCUACUCUGGGGUUCGGUCCAACCAAAAGAAAAUUCAAGUUACCCAGAAUGAAAUAAAACUGGGACAAAAGUUUAUUUUCUCAUAAAAUUGAUUUCAAAAGUUGUAUGUUUUACUCAAUGUUAUGUAAAUUUUUUAGCCUCAUGCCUCCCCUUUUUUCUAACCUUUUUCAAAAGCCAAGUUACAAUCAAAGAAAUACCUUCAAAUCGAUCUUUGAGAAUGUCAAGGCUAAACAUAUUGUGGGUGCAUGAUAUUUCGUGUGUUGGGCAUUAUUUUCGAAAAUAAAAAAUAAAAAAUAAUAAUAAAAAUAAAAAUGAGAGUCACAUUUGUGAAAAUCUUUUUGGGCACCAUAAGGCGACGGUGAACUAAGAAAGAAAUGAAAAUAAGAUAGGCUCGUUGGCAAAAACCCAUUGAGGUGCCACUAGCCGAAGGAGGAUUGUGAUCUAGAGGGAGCAUAUUCAAGAUUGAUUCCAUUUCAAACUCAAUAAGUGGAGAAAUUUAUAAUUAUUAGUGUGGGUAGAUUAGGCUGUCUAAUUCAAAAUGCAUGUCAUAAUUGUUGGAAUUGGCUACCACACCCAAAUAAGUUUUAUUCUGUUGUUUCGAAAAAGAGAUUCCUAUUGUCUUUUCCUUUUCUUUUUAUUUUAUUUCUAUUUUUGAUUUUUUUUGGGGGAGGAGGGUGUCAUCAAAUACAAAUUAUUGUCAUCUUUCGCGUGUCUUUGAGUCAAUUUCAUGUCAAGUCAAAGUGAGAAAGGACUUCAAAACUUGUUACCAACUCCUUCAAUGGUACAAAGCAAGACAAAGGGUCGACACAUAAAGACAAGUUUCAAAGUAAAGUAAGGUACCUAGAAUGAUUGUGAUCAGACAGUUUUAAACUCGUCGAAAGAUAAAAGGUGUAUUGGAAGCUGAACUCGGAGGCAUCAUACAUGAGAGAUAUAAUUCAAAUAAAAAUUUUUAGUAGUCCGAAUUCGGGGUCAGAAGUACGACGAGUCAACGAACAUUUAUCAAGAAUUUGAAAGCAGUUGAGCAUGGAAAGUGCAUGAGCAGUCACCUCAAAAGUCGAAUGCCACAAAUCAACCACCUGUUUUAAACUCACAAGUUUUCUUUGUAUAAAACAGGAACAAUUGCUACCUUCGAAUCGAAGACUUCAAAGCGCAAAUAUGCAGGGUACAAUUCCUCGUUUCUGCAAAUGUAAGAGGCAAUGUUGAUGUACAGGUUUGGCAAUCACAAUCAUGGUAAAACUCGUCAUCUUGGACCCCUAAGAGAUACAUUCUCUAAUUUGGGUCUUUCAUGUCUCAUGGCUAGGAGGUGCACUUGCUAAUUUUAACUGAUAAUCCUAAAAGAUGCAUUUUUAGUAAGAAUCUUUCACUUUUAUUCUUAAGAGACAGACUUGUUGGUCUCAGUCAUUCAAUUUUAUCCUCAAGAGGUGCAUUUGUUUAUCGGAAUCUUAAUUCAUCAUUGCACUAUGCAUCAUUGCAAAUAGUUGUGACUGGGUUUGAUACCCGCAAAAGCUUUUGAUGAUAAACUAGGCAAAAAAAAAUUAAUUCCUAUUAUUUGAAAUUUCACUUUAGGACUUUCCUAGAAAAUGACACUUUAUUUUUCUGAAAAAUGAAGCUUUCUUUAUAAUAAUCUUUGUGUGGGAUAAUUUUUAUUCUAGUUUUUAUUUCAAUUUUAGGAGCCCGCCUGAAGAACAGGGUGAAGAAAUAACAAACCAGGAGCCCACCUGAAGAAUAUGGUGAAAAAAUAACAAGUCAAGAGCCCAUCCGAAGAACAGGAUGAAGAAAUUGUAAGUCAAGGAGCCUGCCUGAAGAACAGGGUGAAGAAAAGUAAGUCAGGAGCCCGCCUGAAAAACAGGGUGAUGGAAAGUAAGUGCAGGAGCCCGCCUGAAGAACAGAGUGAAGAAAAGUAAGUGUAGGAGCCCGCCUGAAUAAUAGAGUGAAGGAAAAAUAAUAAGUCAGGAGCCCGCCUGAAGAACAGGGUGAAGAAGUAACAAACCAGGAGCCCUCCUGAAGAACAGGGUGAAGAGAAAAAAGUAAGCCAAGAGCCUGCUUAAAGAAUAGGGUGAAUUUUCAAGUUCAAGUCAUGAAGAUCCGAAUCAAAAUUUCAGAGAAAUUGCAUUUUGCAUUUUUAUUUUUUAUUUUUGUUAGUCAUUUGAAUGUAAAAAAGCAGAAGUCGUUAACCGAAAACUCAACGGAAUCUCACUCGACGCCUAACUCAUUCUCUCACCAUGUUACCUUUGAACUACUCGUGACCGGAUUUUCUUAUAACCCGGGAUAGGUAGGAGGUCCAAAAUAUUUUUAUUUUUCUUUAAUUUUAAUUUUAUUUUAUCUUUACCUUUCAUAUAAUCGGAGGGUCAAAAAUCAUAUCUUGUCUACUUCUUUUAUGAAAACUCUUCAAGAUUCCACACAAAGAGGGACAAAAAUGUAGACACGUGAUUUUUGAUCCUCCACGAAUUUUAACUUAUUUUUCGAUAUUAAAUAUUUAUAUUUGAUUCUAUAUUAUUUGAAUUCUUAUUUUUAUUUUUAAUAAAUUUUUAAUUUAAAAAUAAAUAACUAAAUAAAGUUAAUUUUGAAAUAUUUUAUUUUAUUUUUAUUCUAAUUCUAAAAAAUAAUACAAAAAUUCAGAUAUAUAUUCAUUUUUUAAAUUUUUAAUAAAUAAAUUAGUAGUUUUUAGUACUAUCUUAUUAUAUUUAUUUUUUGGCAAUUUAUGAACUUUUAUUGUAUUUCUUUAAAUAUAAAAUUAAUUAUUUAUAUUUAUUAUUUUAUUAUUUAUUUAUUUAUUAUUAUUAUUUUCUAUAAUUAAAUUUUUAAAAAAAUCAAAUUCAAAAUAAUUAGUAACUGUUCACUCACACUUUUCCCCCAAAAGUAAGGACUUCUUCCAUUCCAGAAUAGAUAUACGGACAUUCUGUCUACACUGUAUCAGAUACUGAGAAAAACACAUAAACAGACACUGAGAAAGAAAACAUCAAACAAAAAAAGAGAAAAUCAAGAGUGAACAUCAAUAUAAAAUCAAACAAAAGAGAGUGAAGUCGAAUCUAGAUCACGUUCAAGUUUCCGAAAAUGAUAUUCAAAGUUUUUGCUUCAGAUCGUCAACAGGUUUUAUUCUACUUUGUAUUAUUCACUUUAUGAAUUUUUAUAGUGAAUUUAAAUCAUGUUCAAAUUUAUGUGAAUGAUUAUAUUUGAUUACGCGAAUCUUUAUCGUCAUAUAUUAUACUGUAAAUUUAUUGAAUAUUUAUAUAUUUGUUCAGUAAAUAUAUUAAAAAUUUAAAGAUUGUGUGUUACAUGUAGUCUGGUUUAAAAUUUAAAAAAUAAACAAAAUAGAAGGAAAAAUAGGCACGGUUACAAUCCCAUAUACUGUUACCAUUCAUAUGUACACAGAUAUUCACACAUUUCACUGCACACAUAUAGACAUCACAGUAUUUGCUUCAGAUACAGCAACUUACACAACACAAUCACCACUACACGUACGCAUACUCACAGACACUUCAAAUAGCGAUUUCUCUUUUGCACAGAUUUCACACAGUGAAAUAAAAAUGAACAGGAGAGGGGAAAAAUCAGUGAAACAAGAGAGAGAGAAAAAAAUAGAAGUUUGACGAAGAAAAGAAAAAUUGUCAGUUGUUCUUAGAUGAGAAAAAGGAAAAUCGUCAAUCUGUCUUUGAAUUUUUCGGCGAGUUUCUCACCGAAAAUCCGUCAGAAAAUUCACCAUCACCUAAAUUCACUCCAUUUUGGUCAAAAUUCCACCCUUGUGUUCGGUUUUUGGAGAAUCAACUCACCGAAAAAACACCCACCCGUUGCCGCCGGCAAAAAUACCGACCAAAUCAUCCUUUUCGCAGAAAAAUAGUGAAAACCCGCCGGUUUCCACCCCCACAAACCAAAAAUCCACUCCCCGCUGGAAUUGGUAGCCGGCAGGCGCGCCUCCACCAGCCGCCACCGCUGCUGCCUUUCUUCACCGCCCCGUUCUCUCUCUUUUCCAUCACCAAAUAAUUCUGGCAAACCUUCCCCCAAAUCGGCAAAACCCACCGGGAAACAUGGCUGCCGUUCCAUCGAUCCACCGGAGAAAAUUAACCAACAACUCCUUAUAUAUAAUCCAAACCAUAACCCCUCAAAUCCAAACUCAUAAUAUGUUUUUUUCCAUAUUCUUCCUACAGAUCUAACAAGAAGAAAAUAUAUUGGGGUGAUAGGAUAUGCACGUUAUGUGUCUGCCUAAUAGCAGUUGUGGUGUCCAUUUUUUUAUUAUUAUUUGGAUUUGGAGAAUACAUGAAUUGAAAUUUUUGUAUUUGAUUUAUCUUAAAAUAUAUAACUUGAGUUUUGUAUCAAUCUAGAGACUAGACUAUUAAUUUAGCAUAAUAUAUAGGUAGCUUUAUAUAUUUUUAUUUAUUUUAUUAUUUCAUUAUUUUUAUUUUUUUUGUAAUUAAUAAGGUUUGAAAAUUAUUUGUUAAAUUAAUUAAUUACUUUAAAUCAACUUUGCUUUAAUUUAUUGUCAAGAAUAAAUAGCAUUUCGAAUAGAUAAAAUUGUUACGAGUUUAUAAGAUAUAGAUCAAUACCUUCAACACUAGGCAAAUUUUAGGAACGAUUAAAAUUUUUGUUUCAAUAAAGAAUGCGGUGUACGCAUCUUUUCGAGACAUUUUAAAAUUCAAGGAUGCAAUAAUGCACCUUGGCAAAUAUUUUUUUAAAAUUAACUUUCAUUAAUUUAUUUAAUAUAAGAUAAUAGAUAAGUUUUAGUAUAAUAAAAAAUGAGCAAAUUUAGGCCUUAAAUAAUUUAUCAAAAAUAGUUUAAGUUAAGUAUAAGUUAAUAAAAGCAACCGUGCUAGAACCACGGAACUUGAGGGGUGCCUCACACCUUCUCCUCAGUCAAUAAAAUUUCUUACCCGAUCUGUUUUCGCAGAUCAUAAUAAAGAGUCAUUUCCUUUUGAUUAGGGAUUCAAAAAGGUGACCUGGAACACCAUAACUCAAUUCCAAGUGGUGACUCUAUAAAUGAUAAAAAUAAUCCCUAUGCAAAACCGUCAUUUUAAUGGGAAAAACCCUUUGACUCGACCUUCCGAGCGAAAAAGGGGUUUGACAUCCUUCAUUAAAAGACUCUCCUUUAGACAAAACUGUCUUUUCACUAUUUUCAUCAAUUUAUUAUUUAAUUAUUUUUAUUAUAUUAAUUAAACUCCUAAAAUAUAUGAGACUCCUAAAAUAUGAAAGAAAAAUCAAUUAAUAUUUUCAUUCGUACAGGUUACAUAUUUUAAAAAAGAAAAGAUUAUGUAUAGUUAAACAAAAACAGGGAAACACUUUUACUUUUUUGAAAAAUAUUUUUUCCUCUUUUGCCACUAUGUCCAUAAGUGUAAUUUUCGAUUGAAUUCCUUGAAGAAACUUGAG
rnacentral:lncRNA from 1 species